UCUGAGGUUUCCGGAACCUGGCGCGAAAAAAUAAAUUCAACAGGAAAACAGAAGUCGUGAGAAGGAUAAACUACUUUUAAUGAAUUUACUCCUUAUAUAUAUAUUACAUCUAACGGUGUCGGGUUUCUCACUCUUUAUAACCCGUAUUGUCAACUAAGAAGUGAUCCACUUUUCAAGCAAAGGUUGUUUGGAGACAUGAAUCCAGACGACGUGGUUAUCAUUCUCAGUGAUGAUGAUGAUGUAUCCAUCAACGACUCGGUCUACAUCGUCGAAGACAUCCAGAACAACGUAUACCCAGUAGAUCCCUCUAACUGCAGCAGGUCACAUGAUCCCGAAGGAGAAGAGGACCUG